UGUAAGAGAGAAGUUCCCGGUAUCGACAGGGUGGGCAGCGUAGAGAGACGUGCCGACCUCGGGGGUUCUCGGGAAGACUUACGAAGGAUUUUUUGAGAAGGAAUCUUUAGCGAGCCAGGGACUGUAUUCUCAAGGGUUCCGGCGUCUUUUCUUCAAUACCUUUAACGGCUUUCAUGAAGCUCUCAAGACUCCUGCGACGCCGCCUGCCGUAGUAGUCACCGCCACACCAGCCGCAAGAUCCCCCGCAGCCGCCGCAGCCACAGUCCACGCAUCCGCCGCCAGAGUGAUGGUGGUGGUGAUGGUUGUGUCUCCCGGCCAGGUACCCCUAACAAGAUGCUGGGAUCACUACUCCUGGCCAAAGCCCUCUGUCUCUUCAAUGGCAAAAGUGAGCUUUUCCACCAACUGCUCAUAAGACUUGUAUGGAGGCAAGUCUAGACGGUUGAAGCAUGUAUGAGAACGAGGUAGCCAAGUCUCUUUCCCAACCUUCUCAAUGCAGAAUUUCUGUGGUCCAUUGCUUCCUGCAAGGUGAAAGGAUAUCUCUUCCUGCUACAAUAACUGACGUAGAGAAGAGAAGCAGAGACAGGAGGUGGAAAUAAAAAAAAGUUAAUACAUGAAACAAAUAGAAGGCAAGUAAUUUUGAUGGAGACAUUCUCUCAAUAAAGGAA